UACGAAGGGGGCUAGCGUUGUUCGGAAUCACUGGGCGUAAAGCGCACGUAGGCGGCUCUUUAAGUCAGGGGUGAAAUCCUGGAGCUCAACUCCAGAACUGCCCUUGAUACUGAGGAGCUUGAGUCCGGGAGAGGUGGGUGGAACUGCGAGUGUAGAGGUGAAAUUCGUAGAUAUUCGGAAGAACACCAGUGGCGAAGGCGAUCACCUGGGGUUGUUCUGACGCUGAGGAGCGAAAGCUAGGGGAGCAAACGGG
rnacentral:rRNA from 1 species